UACAGAGGUCUCAAGCGUUUGUUCGGAUUCAUUGGGCGUAAAGGGUGCGUAGGUGGCGCUGUAAGUCAGGUGUGAAAUUUCGGAGCUUAACUCCGAAACUGCAUUUGAUACUGCGGUGCUCGAGGACUGGAGAGGAGACUGGAAUUUACGGUGUAGCAGUGAAAUGCGUAGAGAUCGUAAGGAAGACCAGUGGCGAAGGCGGGUCUCUGGACAGUGACUGACGCUGAGACGCGAAAAGCGUGGGGGAGCAAACAGG
rnacentral:rRNA from 1 species